rnacentral:rRNA from 1 species
GACGAACGCUGGCGGCGUGCUUAACACAUGCAAGUCGAACGCUGAAGCUCAGCUUUUGUUGGGUGGAUGAGUGGCGAACGGGUGAGUAACACGUGAGUAACCUGCCUCCUUCUUUGGGAUAACGCCCGGAAACGGGUGCUAAUACUGGAUAUUCACUGGUCUUCGCAUGGGGGUUGGUGGAAAGGGUUUUUCUGGUGGGGGAUGGGCUCGCGGCCUAUCAGCUUGUUGGUGGGGUGAUGGCCUACCAAGGCUUUGACGGGUAGCCGGCCUGAGAGGGUGACCGGUCACAUUGGCACUGAGAUACGGCCCAGACUCCUACGGGAGGCAGCAGUGGGGAAUAUUGCACAAUGGGCGCAAGCCUGAUGCAGCGACGCCGCGUGAGGGAUGGAGGCCGUCGGGUUGUGAACCUCUUUCGCUCAUGGUCAAGCCGCAACAAUGGUUGUGGUGAGGGUAGUGGGUAAAGAAGCGCCGGCUAACUACGUG